rnacentral:rRNA from 1 species
GAUGAACGCUGGCGGCGUGCCUAAUACAUGCAAGUCGAGCGAACGGACGAGAAUCUUGCUUCACUGAUGUUAGCGGCGGACGGGUGAGUAACACGUGGAUAACCUACCUAUAAGACUGGGAUUACUUCGGGAAACCGGAGUUAAUACCGGAUAAUAUUUUGAACCGCAUGGUUCAAAAGUAAAAGACGGUCUUGCUGUCACUUAUAGAUGGAUCAGCGCUGCAUUAGCUAGUUGGUAAGGUAACGGCUUACCAAGGCAACGAUGCAUAGCCGACCUGAGGGGGUGAACGGCGACACUGGAACUGAGCCACGGUACAGAGUCCUACGGGAGGCAGCAGUAGGGAAUCGUCCGAAAUGGGCGGAAGCCUGACGGAGCAACGCAGCGUGAGUGAUGAAGGUCUUCGGAUCGGAAAACUCUCUUAUUAUGGAAAACCAUAUGUGUAAAUAACUGUGCACAUCUUGACGGUAGCUAAUCAGAAAGCCACGGCUAACUACGUG